rnacentral:lncRNA from 1 species
CUCUCCGUCUUCGCCUAUCAGUGCCGGGUCUGCGCAGCCACAGGUUCCGGACGUCUUGGCCCCGGGAAUAAAUAAAGACAUAAACCAACCCGGCUUUCUCCGGAGGAAUGAGGCGCAGUGGUGGAUGCUCGCAAACUUUUGCGCACCGCUGGAAACCCACUAGGUUGAGUUGCAAAACGUACCGCGUAGACGCCCCUGGUGGCGCCGAGAGAAGAGCUAGGCCUGCCCAGCACAGAGCCGGAGAGCGUCGGGCCUUCCGGAAGGGUCGACGAGAUGAGUUCCUACUUGACCUCUGAGCCGAGGUGGGCCGGAAACCGAGGCCUAGGCCCCGCCGGGGCUGCAAGGAAAAGGGGAAACUCCGAGCGUAGCGUCUUUUCCUUGUGGUUCCUUUCUCCGGCAUCCCGGACUGCGGGCCCUGCAGCCACCUGGACCGGCAUUCAAAGGAUUCUGCAAGUCCAGCUUCACAGACUGGCUUUCCCAGACGCUCCGAAGCCCGCACCACGAACAGAAUAAAGGAGAGACGAGAGAUCGCAACUAGAUUUGAGAAUCCUCGUUCUUUUCCCCAAUCGUUCGGGCAGUAAACUCCGGAGCCGGCUACAGCGCGCAUCCUCCCUUCCUCCUUUCGGAGAACUGUCGCUUUCCCGAAGCUGCUCCCAGCUGGGUUUUCUCCCGAAGUUUAUUUUUCUCAUUUUGCAAAAUUCCUGCCCUGAUUUUAAUACUGCAACAGGACAGCAGAGGUUCCUCUUUAAAAAGUCAAAACCCAAACCAAAGGGGCCCAUUGCUGUUGAUAAUUUUUUU